rnacentral:piRNA from 1 species
UCUGCUUGUAGCUGCUGUUCCACCUCGGA